UACUAAUCCUACUAGGGUUAGGGUUCUAGGGAAUUAGCUUGGUGAACUCACCUUAAAGCCGCCGUCAAUGACGGCGGCAUAUUAGGCAAAUAUCCUGUUUCAUCUAUAGCCUUUUAUAGUUAAAAAAAAAAAAAAUACUGAUUUUGGGUAUAGGGAUUUUGAGUAUCAAAUUGGUUAUUUUUGCAAAAAGAUGAGAUUUUUAAUGAUACCCAGGUAGGAAAACAUAGCCAAGAAUGAUUUGGGUAUGAGGGUUUGAGUAUAACUGGUUAUUUUUGCAAAAAGAUGAGAUUUUUAAUGAUACCCUGAUGGGAGAACAUAGCCAAGAAUGAUUUUGGGUAUGAGGAUUUGAGUAUAAUUGGGUAUUUUUGCGAAGGAUUUGAGUAUAAUUGGUUAUUUUUGCAAAAAGAUGAGAUUUUUAAUGAUACCCUGAUGGAAGAACAUAGCCAGAAUGAUUUGGGGUAUGAGGAUUUGAGUAUAAUUGGUUAUUUUUGCAAAAAGAUGAGAUUUUUAAUGAUACCCAGAUGGGAGAUCAUAGCCAAGAAUGAUUUUGGGGUAUGAGGAUUUGAGUAUAAUUGGGUUAUUUUUGCAAAAAGAUGAGAUUUUUGAUGAGACCCAGAUGGGAGAACAUAGCCAAGAAUGAUUUUGGGUAUGAGGGUUUGAAUAUAAUUGGUCAUUUUUGCAAAAAGAUUAGAUUUUUAAUGAUACCCAGGUGGAAGAACAGAGCCAAGAAUGGAUUUUUGGGUCAGAUGUGUAAUUAUAUCAUGCUGGGCCCUCAACUGAUACUUCCAUACUCCAAAACUAGAUUGAGGAAGAGGAUUUUAUAGUGGAGUGGAGCUUUUGAUUUAUUUGAAAAUAUUUAUGAGGUCUUUCCAUAUUAAGAAUCCAAAAUUGAGCCAAUCAAUUGAAGACCACUUCAAAUGCCCCCCAAAAAAUUAUUACUUAGCCGAAUGGUAUCAAGCUUUCCUUGAGAAGCUAAGGAUCACUUGACUUGCAAGACCAAGUUACAAACUCUUGCUCAUUUGAAGGAAUUGGUGCUAUGUAUCUCCCUAGGAUGUUUACUAGAUCGUGCUGACAAUGGAGUCAUGUUCCAAUUAUUUGUACCACCAGAGCAUGGGAUGUGGAACUUCAGGCAGAGUAGGCAGUUUAGGUUUGGAAUUUCAGGCAAUUCAGGUUAGGUAGAGUUGGGAUAUUAGGGAGAUUUGGCAAUUCAGGCUCAAAUACCUAACAACAUAUUCAGAGACAUAAAUGGACUCAUAGAAUGCUCUAGCUGAUAUAUCAGUAUUGAGAGAGAGGCCCAUCUGAGUUGGUCGUUGAGAGAGAGGCCCAUCUGAGUUGGUCGUUGAGAGAGAGGCCCAUCUGAUUGGUUGUAGACUGUGAUAAUACCCUCUCCAGUAUUCCAAACCAUCACUAAGCCCACAAUGCUCUCCCAGCGGAUGAUGGAAAAACGACAUUCCCACUAGUUCAUAUUUCACUGAUGGUGAUGCCUGCAACACCACAUCCAAUAAUGCAUUUUUGUAAGUAAGGGCAGUUGAGCUCGUUUGAGGUAUUGCAGCGCAUUGGGGAGGUGGCCUACAAACUUGCCUUGUCACCGGGCUGAAAGAGAAGCUGCUGUGUUAUCACACAAAAACCAGUCUUCGAAAAUUGAUGAUAUAGUGGUUCGGAAGAUGAGGCACAAAAAGCUUAUGAAGCAACCUAGCUGAAUGUUCAAAUCAAUUGACCGCUUGGAUUUGGUAAAGCAACUCUAACCAAAAAAAUAUAUAAUUACAAGUACAUAACUUGUCACCUUAUUGUUUGAGCAUUGUGUUGAUUUCUCAAGUAAAUAAGAAGAGAAAUUUGUCAAUUGAAAAUUUUGUUUAUCGAACGAAAAGAAAAUUAUAAAUUGAAAGUGUUUGUGAGUGAGCUCACAAUCUAGAAGCACAUAAUGAGCAAGCAAGAUUAUGAAAAUUUUCUCCAUCAAGAUUCAAUUAUUUGCUUUCAUUAAGAAAAGGGAGAAGAUUUAUAUAAUUUGCAAGCUCGUGUUAUGCUACAGGUAACGUGUUUUUUAUUGACAAAUUUCUCUUCUCAUUUACUUGUGAAAUGUAAUACCAUGCUCAAAAGUUAAGAGUGAAAUGUUAUGUAUUUAUAAUUAUAUAUUUUUGGCUAGAGUUGUCUUGCCAAGUCAAGUGUUUAAUUGAUUUGAACCUUCGGGUGAGUUGCUUCAUGAUCGUUUUAUGCCUUAGCUUCUCAACUUACCACUAUAUCAUCAAUUCUCGGAGAGUGUGGCUACUCGAAUGCUCCUGCCAUACAAUUCAGACAAUUGCUCCUCGGAAGCUUUAUUGUCGACAUUGAUAUGGUUAGUUGAUCAGUUAUGUUGAAUGAUUUGCAUUUGGAAAUGAAGGAGAGGAAAACACUUGGUAUUGUCAUUCUGCAGUGCUGAAUCUCAUUUUUUGUCCA